rnacentral:rRNA from 1 species
UACGUAGGGACCAAGCGUUGUUCGGAUUUACUGGGCGUAAAGGGCGCGUAGGCGGCGCGGUAAGUCACUUGUGAAAUCUCUGAGCUUAACUCAGAACGGCCAAGUGAUACUGCAGUGCUAGAGUGUGGAAGGGGCAAUCGGAAUUCUUGGUGUAGCGGUGAAAUGCGUAGAUAUCAGGAGGAACACCGAUGGCGAAGGCAGCCCCCUGGGCCAACACUGACGCUCAGGCACGAAAGCGUGGGGAGCAAACAGG